rnacentral:rRNA from 1 species
CUGCGAGUGAAGCGGGAAAAGCUCAAAUUUAAAAUCUGGCGGUCUUCGGCCGUCCGAGUUGUAAUCUGGAGAAGCGUUUUCCGCGCCGGACCGUGUACAAGUCUCUUGGAACAGAGCGUCAUAGAGGGUGAGAAUCCCGUCUUUGACACGGACUACCGGUGCUAUGUGAUGCGCUCUCGAUGAGUCGAGUUGUUUGGGAAUGCAGCUCAAAAUGGGUGGUAAAUUCCAUCUAAAGCUAAAUAUUGGCGAGAGACCGAUAGCGAACAAGUACCGUGAGGGAAAGAUGAAAAGCACUUUGGAAAGAGAGUUAAACAGUACGUGAAAUUGCUGAAAGGGAAACGAUUGAAGUCAGUCGCGUGUGCUAGAACUCAGCCUUGCUUUUGCUUGGUGCAUUUUCUAGUGUACGGGCCAGCAUCAGUUUUGGCCGCCGGAAAAAGGGCCUUGGGAAUGUGGCACCUUCGGGUGUGUUAUAGCCCUUGGUUGUAUACGGUGGCUGGGACUGAGGAACAUAGCAUGCCUUUACGGCGGGGCUUCGGCCACCUUCAUGCUUUGGAUGCUGGCGUAAUGGCUUUAAACGACCCGUCUUGAAACACGGACCAAGGAGUCUAACAUGCCUG